GGGAAACUCCGGGGGAGCUGUAAAGCUGAGAGGAAGCGCGAGCUUCGACCCCAGACCUGAUCCGGUCAAUGCCGGCGUAGGGAGCGAGACCGAUGACGCAC
rnacentral:ncRNA from 1 species